rnacentral:rRNA from 1 species
CCUGGCUUAGGACGAACGCUGGCGGCGUGCCUAAUACAUGCAAGUCGAACGGUCUUUCUAUGGAAGCUUGCUCCACUGAGAAGAUAGUGGCGAACGGGUGAGUAACACGUGGGUAACCUGCCCAUAAGAGGGGGGAUAACAUCCGGAAACGGGUGCUAAUACCGCAUAGUUUUCUUGAUCGCAUGAUCGGGAAAGGAAAGACGGCCUUUGUGCUGUCGCUUAUGGAUGGACCCGCGGCGUAUUAGUUAGUUGGUGAGGUAACGGCUCACCAAGACGAUGAUACGUAGCCGACCUGAGAGGGUGAUCGGCCACAUUGGGACUGAGACACGGCCCAAACUCCUACGGGAGGCAGCAGUAGGGAAUCUUCCGCAAUGGACGAAAGUCUGACGGAGCAACGCCGCGUGAGUGAAGAAGGUUUUCGGAUCGUAAAACCCUGUUGUCAGAGAAGAACAAGUUGGAGAGUAACUGCUCCAGCCUUGACGGUAUCUGACCAGAAAGCCACGGCUAACUACGUGCCAGCCGCCGC